CUUUCAUUUCUUACAGCCAGAGAACAUACACUGUAUGGUUUCAAUACUUCUAACUGCAUCCUUUUCUGCCCCAGCAUGUGACCUUUGGUGAAAAGCCCACUUGCUUUGAUGUUAACAGUGACUGCCUUCAAGACUGUUAAUUUUAGCAAAUGGAUUGUGUUUGAGAGUAUCGUACAUCCUCAGAAGUCUUUUUGGCUCAUGAGUUGGGGAAGAUGGCUCAAAGUGCUUGACCCAUAAGCAUGAAGAUCUGAUCUGGAUCUCCUGUAAACAGCUGCAGCACAGGCUCGUAACCCAAGCACUGGGGAGGCAGAGACAGGAAGAUCCCUGGGAUCGGCUGGCCACCUGGUGUAGCUUAGUCAGCAAGCUCCAUAUUCAGUGAGAGACCUCGCCUCGAAAGCUAAGGUGAAGGGGGAAGAUGAAAGACAGACAGACAGACAGACACAUGUUCUGUUGUAGAACUGCCACUGCAUUCAAUACUGUCAGCCCAUGGCUUGGAGCCUGGGUCUGGUUAAAUCAAGAUUCAAUAAGCAGCCAGGAAAAUGAACAUUACAUAAACACCUGUAUAUUGUUUCUGGAAGCACAUCUGUCUCACCAGAAGUCUACGCAACUUAGAACAGUUUUCAAUGAUUCCGGAGCCCAGAAAGUUAACUGGCAAGCACGACUGAUGUCAGUGUCAGACAGAAAACAGCCUCAGACUUCCAAGGCCGAAUUGAAUACCAGCGUAACUGAUUUGCCUUUCUGACUCACCCUAGUCUUCUAAUUUCUGAAUUGUAGAACUGUAGGCAAUCAUUUGUCAUAAUUAUCGCUUUCUGUUUAUUUCUUAAAGCAACAGGUAUAUAUUAAAUAUUAAUAUUUAAAUAGUAAAAAUUUUUAUUGUAAUCCACUUAUUAUUGGAUCACAAUUUAUUCAUAAUUGGCAGUUAUAAAUAUUGAGAACUUGCGUUUUGAUGCCUGUUAAUAAUUUAAGACAAUAUUUAAUAUUUUUACAAUUUUCUUGUGGUAAGAAUAUUCAAAAUACCUUUAGUUAUUUUGAGAUGUACAUUACUGCUGAUUAUAAAAUUCCUUCAUGUGCAGAACUGAAUUUAGGCCCCCUUAGCUAUAGUUUGAUAAACGUUGACCAAUCUUUCCUAAGGUGAUCUAAAGUAUAUGAGAAUUGGCUUGAAUUCAUGUGUAGUUCACAGUCUUAGUAAGUUGUAGUAAAUCUGGCUGCUGUCUUACUUAGCCCGCCUGUACGUCUGCUCAGGACUAUUUUAAACUGCAGUCAGAGUGCUCCUUAAACUGUGCAGUCAUCGCUAACACUGAUCAGGUUGGCCCCAAACUCCUACUUCUCCUGCUUUAGUACUAGGAUGGCGGAUUUGCUACGUCAGACGGCUUCCAAAUGAACAUUAAUACAGCAAGUGUUUCAGUGGAGAUAUACAUGGCUUAGACACACUUCUCAUUCAUAACUGACCAAAGUAUACUGACAAUUAUUAUUCAAGUUGUUCUUUAAGUCUUCAGCUGUCUUGAGAGAAGAACUCCAAUGUACGGUAUCAUUUUGUGUGUCAUCAUCAGUAAGAUGCAGGUGUGAGCAUCUCAUCGCCUAUGGAACAAGCAGAGCACAUUGACAAGCACAGGUCUCAGUCGUUCCAAACAUAAAAGAGCCGCACGAUCACCUAAAAGCAGCAUGUGGCUUAAGAAUGCAUGGAAGGGGGCGGAGAGAUGGCUCAGCGGUUAAGGUCCUGAGUUCAAAUCCCCAAAACCACAUGGUAGCUCACAACCAUCUGUAAUGGGAUUCAAUGCCCUCUUCUGGUGUGUCUGAAGACAGCCACAGUAUACUCAUGAAAAUAAAAUAAAUAAAUCUAAAAUAGAUAAAUAAAUAAAGAAUGCAUGGAGGUUCCCUGUUGGAAACCUUUAGGUAAUACCUCCUGUUUUAUAGACUUUCUAGCUACAUAGCAAUUCAGAGCAGAUGAAAAACCUCCAAGAACAAACCAACCAUCAAGUUAACUGUGAUGGCUCCAAAUGACUCAACUAUGAAAGGAGGAGAGUGACUGUAGUGACCCAGCCCAGCUGCGGGUCAGGAUCUGAAGGGCAGCGAGACUUGGGUCUGUGUGUGCUUUAAAAAACCAACUGAGAAAGUUACGAAGACCAACUGUAGGUAAUGGGGCUGGGGGAGAGAAGAAAUCUUGCCAUAUCCAGAAAUUAAUAAAACACUUGGAAGAUAAAUAUAGAUUUAAUAAUAAACAUUAUGGUCAGGCUGUUUAUUAAGGAGGCAACCACAUAUUACAAGUUCAGCUAUAGAAAUGUUUGCAAAUCAAACUUCAUGUGAUCUAAAAGGACCAUGCAUCAUACUGUCAAAACCGGACACCUGUACAGUGAGUUACGUCAAUCUGAACAUACAUAGUCUAGAUCAUCCUAGAGGUAUACAAACAUCUGGGCCACAUAUGUAUUUAAUCUUCUUUGCUUUCAAAAAAAUUUUUUAUAUCUAUAUAUAAAAGUGAUGUUCUGAGAUAAUUUAAAAAAGUAUCUGACAUUUAUGAAUGGUCCCCAGUUUUACAAAAUGUGAUUUCCAGGGUAUGAAAACUGAGAAAAGUCAACUCUUCAGAGAGUUUUAUACAAACAAGUUUUGUAGAAAAAUGAUUCAGCAAAUGCUUGAGUUAAGAAUAUUUAUAUUUUUCCAAUUCUUUACACUUUUAUUAACACACUUACAAAAAAUAACAUCCAAACACUGAGAAAAUUAAAUAACUUUGGAAGCAGAGGUCAUAGCUUCUGCUGACAUACAAGUGACAAUUCUGGGCUGUUGGCACAAAAUAAUCAACAUUUAUAACCCUACUACUAUAUAUCAAACAUAAGUUAAAAUCAUAGGCACUAGUUCAUCAAAUCCACAUUUCUUCUGUACUACUAACCACAGUAAAUCCUUAGAUUUUCCCAAACAGAAAAACCGGCAAUACACAAAGGCUUUCUAGUAAGAAGGCAAUUUUUCUCUUUAGGAAACUAAAAGCCAAUAAUCUGUGGUAGUACAGCAGCAGCUGAAAUAAUAUCACCAAACUCAGAUCCAAAAUACAUUUUUAAACAAGUGAUGAAAUAGUUUAAUUAAAAAAAAAUAGAUAUUUUUUCUGAUACAGCCAUUUAAAAACAAUGUUAAAUAACCUGAAUAUUCCUUUUGAAACUGAUUAUCUAACUUAAAAAAUGUAAUAGAUGGUUCAUUAAAGUUCUUUUAAAUUAUUAGAUUGCAGCAUUUAUUAUUUCUUUUCAACUGUUACACUGAACAGAGACCUGCUUGCUGUGUGCACAUGUGACUCUACAGAGACAGCGGCUACUCCUUUGUCAUUUAUGAGACACACCGCACCAAAGUAUACGUUCCAUCUUUCUUGGAAAAACAACAGUUUUUUAGUUCAUCAUUAUGGAUAACCGUGAGCCCCUCCUUUCCCUCUCAUCCCUUCCAAUGCAAGGACACAAGGUCUUUCACUCUACACUCUAGUUCCGGCACUGGCACUGGCGCUGUUUGUGCUAGCGAGCUCUAUGUCUCCCUGCUGCUGGUCCAGCGUCAGCAGUGGCAGACUGGGUCUCUGUUAUUAACUCAUGCUUUCCUGAGCGGGAAACUUUCCUUCCCUUUCUCUCUGCAUUUCUACUUGCACCUUACAGAACACCUCUACUUACAGGAAAUGAGUUCAAAUCCCCACCUUUAUGUGACCCAACUGCCAAUAUUUAAAACUGUCUAGAUUAAGUAUUUAAAAAACAGACCUCAUUAUAAAAAA